GAUGAACGCUGGCGGCGUGCCUAAUACAUGCAAGUCGAGCGAACGGACGAGAAGCUUGCUUUUCUGAUGUUAGCGGCGGACGGGUGAGUAACACGUGGAUAACCUACCUAUAAGUCUGGGAUAACUUCGGGAAACCGGAGCUAAUACCGGAUAAUAUUUUGAACCGCAUGGUUCAAAAGUGAAAGACGGUCUUGCUGUCACUUAUAGAUGGAUCCGGGCUGCAUUAGCUAGUUGGUAAGGUAACGGCUUACCAAGGCAACGAUGCAUUGCCGACCUGAGAGGGGGAUCGGCCACACUGGAACUGGGACACGGUCAAGACUCCUACGGGAGGCAGCAGUAGGGAAUCUGCCGCAAUGGGCGAAAGCCUGACGGAGCAACGCCGCGUGAGUGAUGAAGGUCUUCGGAUCGUAAAACUCUGUUAUUAGGGAAGAACAUAUGUGUAAGUAACUGUGCACAUCUUGACGGUACCUAAUCAGAAAGCCACGGCUAACUACGUG
rnacentral:rRNA from 1 species